rnacentral:rRNA from 1 species
UGGGGAAUAUUGGGCAAUGGGCGCAAGCCUGACCCAGCCAUGCCGCGUGAGUGAUGAAGGCCUUCGGGUCGUAAAGCUCUGUGGGGAGGGAAGAAGCACCCUGUGGCUAAUAUCCACGGGGCCUGACGGUACCUCCUUAGCAAGCACCGGCUAACUCCGUGCCAGCAGCCGCGGUAAUACGGAGGGUGCAAACGUUGCUCGGAAUCAUUGGGCGUAAAGCGCACGUAGGCGGCCGACUAAGUCGGAUGUGAAAGCCCAGGGCUCAACCCUGGAAGUGCAUUCGAAACUGGCCGGCUUGAAUAUGGAAGAGGGUCGCGGAAUUCCCGGUGUAGAGGUGAAAUUCGUAGAUAUCGGGAGGAACACCAGUGGCGAAGGCGGCGACCUGGGCCAAUAUUGACGCUGAGGUGCGAAAGCGUGGGGAGCAAACAGGAUUAGAUACCCCCGUAGUCC